rnacentral:rRNA from 1 species
GACGAACGCUGGCGGCGUGCCUAAUACAUGCAAGUAGAACGCUGAAGAGAGGAGCUUGCUCUUCUUGGAUGAGUUGCGAACGGGUGAGUAACGCGUAGGUAACCUGCCUUGUAGCGGGGGAUAACUAUUGGAAACGAUAGCUAAUACCGCAUAACAAUGGAUGACACAUGUCAUUUAUUUGAAAGGGGCAAUUGCUCCACUACAAGAUGGACCUGCGUUGUAUUAGCUAGUAGGUGAGGUAAUGGCUCACCUAGGCGACGAUACAUAGCCGACCUGAGAGGGUGAUCGGCCACACUGGGACUGAGACACGGCCCAGACUCCUACGGGAGGCAGCAGUAGGGAAUCUUCGGUAAUGGGGGCAACCCUGACCGAGCAACGCCGCGUGAGUGAAGAAGGUUUUCGGAUCGUAAAGCUCUGUUGUAAGUCAAGAACGGGUGUGAGAGUGGAAAGUUCACACUGUGACGGUAGCUUACCAGAAAGGGACGGCUAACUACGUG